rnacentral:rRNA from 1 species
GCAAGUCGAACGCUGAAGCCCAGCUUGCUGGGUGGAUGAGUGGCGAACGGGUGAGUAACACGUGAGUAACCUGCCCCCUUCUUUGGGAUAACGCCCGGAAACGGGUGCUAAUACUGGAUAUUCACUGGCCUUCGCAUGGGGGUUGGUGGAAAGGUUUUUUCUGGUGGGGGAUGGGCUCGCGGCCUAUCAGCUUGUUGGUGGGGUGAUGGCCUACCAAGGCUUUGACGGGUAGCCGGCCUGAGAGGGUGACCGGUCACAUUGGGACUGAGAUACGGCCCAGACUCCUACGGGAGGCAGCAGUGGGGAAUAUUGCACAAUGGGCGAAAGCCUGAUGCAGCGACGCCGCGUGAGGGAUGACGGCCUUCGGGUUGUAAACCUCUUUCGCUCAUGGUCAAGCCGCAGCUUUGGGUUGUGGUGAGGGUAGUGGGUAAAGAAGCGCCGGCUAACUACGUGCCAGCAGCCGCGGUAAUACGUAGGGCGCGAGCGUUGUCCGGAAUUAUUGGGCGUAAAGGGCUUGUAGGCGGUUGGUCGCGUCUGCCGUGAAAUCCUCUGGCUUAACUGGGGGCGUGCGGUGGGUACGGGCUGACUUGAGUGCGGUAGGGGAGACUGGAACUCCUGGUGUAGCGGUGGAAUGCGCAGAUAUCAGGAAGAACACCGGUGGCGAAGGCGGGUCUCUGGGCCGUUACUGACGCUGAGGAGCGAAAGCGUGGGGAGCGAACAGGA